UACGGAAGGCAGUAGUGGGGAAUAUUGCACAAUGGGCGAAAGCCUGAUGCAGCUAUGCCGCGUGUAUGAAGAAGGCCUUAGGGUUGUAAAGUACUUUCAUCGGGGAGGAAAAAACAAAACUAAUAAUUUAUUCUUGACGUUACCCGAAAAAGAAGCACCGGCUAACUCCGUGCCAGCAGCCGCGGUAAUACGGAGGGUGCUAGCGUUAAUCAGAAUUACUGGGCGUAAAGAGCACGUAGGUGGUUUUUUUAAAGUCAGAUGUGAAAUCCCUGGGCUUAACCUAGGAACUGCAUUUUGAAACUGAAAUACUAGAGUAUCGUAGAGGGAGGUAGAAUUCUAGGUGUAGCGGUGAAAUGCGUAGAUAUCUGGAGGAAUACCUGUGGCGAAAGCGGCCUCCUAAACGAAUGCUGACACUGAGGGUGCGAAAGCGUGGGGAGCAAACAGGGAUUAGAUACC
rnacentral:rRNA from 1 species